AUGACAGUUAUUAGUGACCAAAAUUAUCACAGUAUCACAAUUAUCACAUAUGUGAUGUUCAAAUAAAGCUUUGAAAAAGUUUCAUAAAAUGGUAGACCUCACAUUUCAGCCUUUAAAUAAAGAAAAGGGUUAAAUGUAAGGGUUAUAAGUCUUUGUGUAAGCAAAAUGUACCUAUCGGGGAUCUUUUUUUUUGCUGUAUAAUUUUGUUUGUCAAUUGGUCAUGUUACAACAUGAAAUGUAACAGUCUCUGUUUAAACAACAUGCCACACACUAAAAAAUCCUGGGUUAUUUUUUCUACCCAAGUGCUGGGUUGAGCCAUUUGGGUAAAUUUUUGGGUUAUUUUCUCAGUCUUGGGUAGUUUUUGGGUAGUUCUAUGUAACCCAACCGCUGGGUUAUUUUCUGGGUCGUUUUCACUGAGAGCUGAAUCAAUGCACCCCUCCCCCACUCGGACGCAAUAACCCAGCUCAUUGGGUCAAAUCAACUCCGCGCAGGAUCAGCGCAGCGCGGGCUGACUGAAUUCGAGGUGGAGGUGGAUGCCACACACACGCUGUAAUAUUUGGAGAAAUAAGGUUCGUAUCAAUAUAUUUAUACAUUUGACAUGUAUUUUUAAACAUAUUUACACACAUAACAUAAUAAUGAGCGAACGAGCGAUAAAAAGGCAAAGAAAUGUGCGACAACAGUCACGUUUACAUGACAUUAAAUGCACCGCCAGAUUCGCUCGUUUUGGUUUGCUGGUAAUGCCUGCUGGAUAGUAAAUACGUUUUCUUCAGUUUUUAUGUGUUAAACGACCCUUUUGUCAAAGUCUUACGUUUCUUCUUAACUGUUAAAUGAUAUAAUUUACUUCAAAGUCCAUUAAGUCAAUUAAUUUCAAUGCCACGAGAUCAAUGUGAUGUAAACGUGCAUUCCUUGACUUGCCCAUCCCCCGUCUUACUGCAUGCAGUGCUAAGCCAAAACAACCCAAUUUUUGGGUCAUCUGUCGCGGGCAUAUUUUGGAUCGUUACAGGAGAAAAUAUUUUAAAAACAAACUGACUUUAGCCUUUUUUUCUGGUGAAAUAAAGGUUUGUAUUGGUCUUUUUAUCAUUGAAUCGUUACCGAUUGGCAAAAAUGUCCCAUUCUGAUUUUAAAAUAUCACUUAACGUUAUAUGAUAGAUCAUAAAGCAUCCUGCAUUUGCGAGCACCAGAGAUAACGUUACCUAUUUUUUUUCUGUCUGAUGCGUUUCGGGUUUUUUUUUCACAAUAAAAAUACAUUUCUAAUCAUUUAUUCAUUUAAUAAAUGUAUUAUUAUUUGAAAUCCAGGUAAGUGUCAAUUAAUCUUGGACUAAAAUAUAUUGUUUUUUCCCCUCAGACCUGCUCUUGACUGUCCGUGGUAGCAAAUCCACAGCCUUUAGCUGGAGUAGAAUCAACCGUAUCUGAAGAGAGAGCUGAGGAAAUUAAACAAUGGCUGAGAAACAACACACAGCCCAUCAGCCAGGUGGAACAGUACAUCUGAAAAAUAUGUUUGAGGUCCUCCAUGAGUUUCCUCGGCUAACUACCUCAGGCAUGAUUGCACAGGACUUUCACAUUUUACAUUAAGAUGAAGCCCCAAAACUGUUUGAAAAAUGGCUGGUAUACUGACAGGAUCUUGCUUUUUGUGAGCGAGAAGCAAAGCUUUCAUGUACAGCUGAACAAAUGACAGAAGAUGCAAAGGGAAAUCUUGCACUAAAGCUAUUUACCUGUUUUGCUACCACCUCCACCCUACAAAUUUGGCAGAAAAACAGUCCGACCCAGCAUUGAUGAAAGCAAAAAAGCUUUCAUUGACAUUCAGCCUGUUGGAACAAAUAUGGUGGAGUACCUCCAGCAGGCUGAAGCAUCAAGACCUUACCCAUAUGUCCUGUAACUUGAAAAUGGACACAUUGCGUCGCGGGCAUUUGUCAUCCUCGCAGGAGAAGCUUUGGAACAAAGAACUAUUGUUUAAGGGGAAGUCAUGGCCUAAUGGUUAGAGAGUUGGACUCGCAAUUUAAGGGUUGUGUGUUCGAGUCUCGGGCCGACAGGAAUUGUAGGUGAGAGGAGUGAAUGUAUAGUGCUCUCUUCCACCCUCAAUACCACGACUUAGGUGCCCUUGAGCAAGGCAUCGAACCCCCAACUGCUCCCCGGGUGCCGCAGCACAAAUGGCUGCCCACUGCUCCGGGUGUGUGUUCACAGUGUGUGUGUGUGUUCACUGCUCUGUGUGUGUGCACUUCGGAUGGGUUAAAUGCAGAGCGUGAAUUCUGAGUAUGGGUCACCAUACUUGGCUGAAUGUCACAUCACUUUCACUUCACUUCAUUGGGACAGUAAAUGUAUGUUUCAAAUCGUUUUAUGUUUUUGAUGUAAACUAACUGAAACAUUGUUUCUAUAUUAGGGAGUUUAUUCAUAAUAUAUUUGAGUUGGAGGGAAGUGAAUCCCCAACAGUGAAAUUUUUGCACUGGGCACUACAUUCUUGCAAGUAGAUUAUAAGAGGUUCUUUGAACAAACAGUGGUUCAAGAACACGAGGUAGCAUUUUAGUUUAAGUUUUAUUUGCACAAGAGAUUUUUGUUCUGUUUUUUUUUGUAUAAACAACUGUUUUAUUGCUUGAGGAAGAGUAUUACUUUAUGCGUACUGAUUAUCAAUUACAUUUUUAUGUAGAAAUCUUUUACUGCCAAUACGUUGUAUUUCAUAGAUUUAUUUUUGUGUUCAUUUUGUAGACUUAAAACAACAGGUCCAUAAUGUAGACUUAAAACAAAUGUGCUUUGUAACAAACAGUUCUUGAGGUAAAGUAUUUUAGUUUUAAUUUCAUGUGCAUAUGGAUUAUUUAAAAAUAAGUAUUUAUUUGUAUAUUUAAAAAAAACCUUUAGGUUUUUUGGAGUUCAUGAAUUUCAUGAGCAUAUGGAUUAAAAAUAAUAUGAAUUAUUUUUUAAAUGCAUUACUAAACCUUGUGGUUCUUUGGAGUUUAUGAAUUCAAAUGUUUUUUUCUAAACAUUUACAGUUUAGAAAAGUUACAGAGGCAAACCAUAAAAAUGAAAGAAAUUGUUUUAAAUACUGUUUAUAAAUGGAAUUUUAUUUUUUUAGUUUUGUAUGAUCUCUUGAAUUUUUGGUUGAGGUAAAGUGUAAUUACAAAGUGUAAU